UCCUGGUGAUGAUAGCGGCGGGGAAACCCCUCUUCCCAUUCCGAACAGAGAAGUUAAGCCCGCCAGCGCGGAAAAUACUGAGUCAGGUACUUGGGAAAAUACGUCGUCGCCAGGACU
rnacentral:rRNA from 1 species